rfam:Cyclospora cayetanensis strain CHN_HEN01 contig_59, whole genome shotgun sequence.
GCCUCCUUUAAGAAUACCAUCUGUUAAAGUCGGAACGAUACAAAGAGGAGUAGCAUGGCCCUUGCCCAAGGAUGACACAGCAAAAGCAUACUUCUGAAUGAGGCAUUU